rnacentral:lncRNA from 1 species
GAUUCAAUUUAUUUGUGAAUCUUGAUGCAUCUGUUUUACUGGAAACCUUGGGUUUUUGUUGUUCUAAAAAUCAUUCUUAUCAAUUUUCGUGAAAAUCCAUGACUAAGUUGUUGAUGAAUGGAAACUGAAUCUGUAGAAUGUAUUGAAAAUUUUUUAGUCAAUUUAUCAGAAAAAUAUCAAAAAUAUAGAAAAAAAAUAUUU